rnacentral:tRNA from 1 species
GCCGUAGUUUGCACAGAAGUCGUUUCAAUACUGUCCAAUUACUGCUCACUUCCCAAAAUCCUCGUCGUAAGCCGCUGGAUUUAGGAUCCAGUGUCCCUUAGGACGUGUAGGUUCGAGUCCUAUCCGCGGCA